CACCCGCGUAUCCGGCUGCUCGAGUGAUAGCCGCUUUUACUGGGCUUAAAGCGUUCGUAGCUUGGUCGUUAACUCUUUGGGGAAAUCUUUUGGCUUAACCAAAAGGCGUCUCAGGGAAAGUGGCGAUCUUGGAACCGGGAGAGGUAAGACGUACUUCGGGGGUAGGAGUGAAAUCUUGUAAUCCCCGAGGGACGACCGAUGGCGAAGGCAUCUUACCAGAACGGCUUCGACAGUGAGGGACGAAAGCUGGGGGAGCAAACCGGAUUAGAUACCCGGGUAGUCCCAGCCGUAAACGAUGUGCGUUAGGUGUGUCAGCGACCACGAGUCGCUGAGGUGCCGAAGGGAAACCGUGAAACGCACCGCCUGGGAAGUACGGUCGCAAGGCUGAAACUUAAAGGAAUUGGGGGGGGGGACCAC
rnacentral:rRNA from 1 species